rnacentral:rRNA from 1 species
UACGUGAGGCAGCGAGCGUUGUUCGGAAUUACUGGGCGUAAAGAGUGUGUAGGUGGUGCUCUAAGUUCGGUGUGAAAUCUCCCGCUUAACUGGGAGGGUGCGCCGAAAACUGGAGUGCUCGAGCGUGGGAGAGGGAAAGAGACGGAAGUUCCUGGUGUAGCGGUGAAAUGCGUAGAUAUCAGGAGGAACACCAGCGGUGUAGACGGCUUUCUGGACCAUUGCUGACGCUGGAGAACACGAAAGCGUGGGUAGCAAACAGG